rnacentral:tRNA from 1 species
GGCGGAUGUAGCCAGGGGAAUCAGGGGGGGGUUGGGGAAACCCCCCCAUGGCGCGGAAA